UACGAAGGGGGCUAGCGUUGUUCGGAUUUACUGGGCGUAAAGCGCAUGUAGGCGGGUCGUUAAGUUGGGGGUGAAAGCCCGGAGCUCAACUCCGGAACUGCCUUCAAAACUGGCGACCUGGAGCAAGAUAGAGGCGAGUGGAAUUCCGAGUGUAGAGGUGAAAUUCGUAGAUAUUCGGAGGAACACCAGUGGCGAAGGCGACUCGCUGGAUCUUUGCUGACGCUGAGAUGCGAAAGCGUGGGGAGCAAACAGG
rnacentral:rRNA from 1 species